CCUACGGGAGGCAGCAGUGGGGAAUCUUGCGCAAUGGGCGGAAGCCUGACGCAGCAACGCCGCGUGUGGGAAGACGGCUUUCGGGUUGUAAACCACUUUCAGGGGGGACGAAGCUUCCGAGGUUAAUAGCCUACGGGGUGACGGUACCCCCAGAAGAAGCCCCGGCUAACUACGUGCCAGCAGCCGCGGUAAUACGUAGGGGGCGAGCGUUGUCCGGAAUCAUUGGGCGUAAAGCGCGUGUAGGCGGCUUGAUAAGUCUGGUGUGAAAUCUUGGGGCUCAACCCCGAAGCCUGCACUGGAUACUGUCAAGCUUGAGUCCGGGAGGGGAGAGCGGAAUUCCUAGUGUAGCGGUGAAAUGCGCAGAUAUUAGGAAGAACACCGGUGGCGAAGGCGGCUCUCUGGAACGGUACUGACGCUGAGACGCGAAAGCGUGGGGAGCGAACAGGAUUAGAUACCCUGGUAGUCCACGCCGUAAACGAUGGGCACUAGAUGUGGGCGGUGUCGACUCCGUCCGUGUCGAAGCUAACGCAUUAAGUGCCCCGCCUGGGGAGUCGGCCGCAAGGCUAAAACCGUUAAAGGAAAUUGACGG
rnacentral:rRNA from 1 species